rnacentral:rRNA from 1 species
GACGAACGCUGGCGGCGUGCUUAACACAUGCAAGUCGAACGGUAAGGCCCUUCGGGGUACACGAGUGGCGAACGGGUGAGUAACACGUGGGUGAUCUGCCCUGCACUUCGGGAUAAGCCUGGGAAACUGGGUCUAAUACCGGAUAGGGCCACUGCCUGCAUGGGUGGUGGUGGAAAGCUUUUGCGGUGUGAGAUGGGCCCGCGGCCUAUCAGCUUGUUGGUGGGGUGAUGGCCUACCAAGGCGACGACGGGUAGCCGGCCUGAGAGGGUGACCGGCCACACUGGGACUGAGAUACGGCCCAGACUCCUACGGGAGGCAGCAGUGGGGAAUAUUGCACAAUGGGCGCAAGCCUGAUGCAGCGACGCCGCGUGAGGGAUGACGGCCUUCGGGUUGUAAACCUCUUUCAGCACCGACGAAGCGCAAGUGACGGUAGGUGCAGAAGAAGGACCGGCCAACUACGUGCCAGCCGCCGCGGUAA